GUGUGUAACACAUUUUCAGAUAUCUCUAUCUGGUUUAACUGAAACAACCAACUAAGUUUGGUUUCUUCACAGUGAAUGGCUGUCCCCCCUCAGAGCAUUUCCUCUCCGGCCGAUACAGCAUUGGUAGCCUCCCGGGCCGACAUUCGGCAUCCAUCAUUAGUCUUCUCAAUUCCACAUCUGGAGCAAGUACUGUAUGACAUGAAAGCCAUCAGAAAGCAGCAGAUAUGGUAAUCAAGAGGAUUAUGAUGACGAUGAUGAUAAUUGGUGGUGGUGGUGGUGGUGGUGGUGGUGAAGGUGGUGAUGGUGGUGAAGGUGGUAGAUUCACCAACGACUUCCAGUCAGUCCAUUUCUGCAUUCAAUUAUUUUUUACACAGAACGUCGUUAACUGCUGUGAUAGUUUAAACCACACUUGGACAUUUCUGCGUCUGUCCUUCAUCAACUGCAAGUUUUACUGACCACAACACUUCUUUCCUCCUGUUGCAGUUUUAAAGAAUCAUUUUUUAAAAAUCUUUUCUUUUUUUUUAAAUAUAUGGACAACAACAAACAAAUGGUCAAUUGUCCUGUAGAAUUGAUCUCUAAACUGUUCUCUAUCAUUUCUGUGAUAUGACCCAUGCUCUUCUCCUGGACAGCCACUGCUUUGCUGACCAAACAACAGACCAUCACUGACUUAACAACAUUCUUUAGAUCAUCAUUAACUAACAACACAUAACAACGCUGACUGAUCUAAAGACCUAACAACACCCACGGACACCUUUGAAUUUGUAUUUUACCCACAACUAAAACCCCAAACCACCCCCAAAACCAUUUAGAGAUGAACUCUGUACCCUUUUACUCAUGCCCAUGUAUAUUGCAGUGUUGUACAUCUGGGGUACAAUGUGUACAGAAGUGUUGCACUGCUGUGGUACUCUGCUUACCAAACUGUUGUACUCUUAAGAGUACACUGCUUACAGGAUAGCUUCUCUUUUGGACUACUCUGCUUCCAGUAGUAUUUCACAUCUGUGGUACAUUAAUUACAACAUCACUGCACCUCCCAGGGUACUCCACGACAUUUCUUUUGAUGUAUAUAACUUGUGUGGUACUCCAGACUUGGGUUUCUUUACCUGUCAGUGUAGUAAUACAACCUGUAGUAGAUAGGGUACCUGUGAUCUGUUACACACCUGUUCUACUAUUUCUAAACUAAAUACCCGGCAUAGAACUGCUGGACUUGUAGUGAUGUACCCCAACUGCAAGCUGUACUUGUCUAUGUACCCCAUCUGACAAAUAAAUGUACAUAUCUGUGCUACCCAUGAGAAAACAUUGACUAUGAAGAGGUACCACCGAUUUGUGUACCCAAAAUGAAUGAGGUACAGCUGUGUACCUUAACUAACAUAAAGUUAUUUAAUGAAACAAUAUAUAUAUAAUAAUUAAUAAUAAUGAUAAUUGCAAUAAAUGCUUUAGUGUUUUUAAUUGCCCCUCCCCCAUCUCAUACAGUUGAUCUUUUUCAUAAAAUUUUGUUUUAAAAUUU
rnacentral:lncRNA from 1 species